rnacentral:lncRNA from 1 species
GGGGCUCAGAAAAUGAUACCCCAAAAUGAAGGACUCAGAGGCAAAGUUUCUCUCUCAUCCUCCCCUGCCUUUCCGUCUCUCACCCUUCCUUCUCCCCUGAGGCAAGCCAUGGAAGCUAGAAUUCCUCUUCACCAAGACAGGUCAUAGAAACCAGAACCCCUUUUCCCCAAAGCCAGCCAUAAAAAUUGGAGUAAAGGUUUCAGUAAAAAUAUUACUCCAACCUUUCCCAACCUUUCCGUUUAAAAGCUGGCCAUAAAGAAAUUAAAUCCCUUAUUCCUGAGGGGUCCCACCCCAUACCAGGAAGGAAGAAAUGCUGCACAAAGAGACCAAGAAGAAUCUAAACAGGUGGGCCUUGCCGAAUUUCCCCACUUUGUCUCUUCACGUUAGAUUGUACCCCUGUGUUCAAUCACAUUUCUACACAACUGUCAAUACUUCUUUGAAACUAAGCAUAAAAAUAGAUAGUUUUCCCUGUAUCUUUGGGUCUUCAUUCUGAAGGCUCCUGUGUCAUGCAAAGCUAUACUCCAAUACAUUUGUCAUGCUUUUUUUUGUUAACCUGCCUUUUGUUACAGAGGUGUUCGCUGUGACCAUUAGGAUGAAGAGGAAAGAGAUCAUCCCCUUUCUACUCCUACAUCCCCAAGUGAAGAGGACAUGGAGUACAGCCACAGCCACACUUAAAGGGCGUGUAACAUGAACAAAAAUAAAUGUUUGUUCUGCUACUACUCUGUCAUCCUAAGAGAAGAAUCUCUGAAAUUUUGACAGCAUGUGUAAAUAUUCCCACUGAUUAUUGGAUUAUGAAGAUGG